rnacentral:rRNA from 1 species
UACGAAGGGGGCUAGCGUUGUUCGGAAUUACUGGGCGUAAAGCGCACGUAGGCGGUUUGUUAAGUCAGAGGUGAAAUCCCGGAGCUCAACUUCGGAACUGCCUUUGAUACUGGCAAUCUCGAGUCCGGAAGAGGUUAGUGGAAUUCCCAGUGUAGAGGUGAAAUUCGUAGAUAUUGGGAAGAACACCAGUGGCGAAGGCGGCUAACUGGUCCGGUACUGACGCUGAGGUGCGAAAGCGUGGGGAGCAAACAGG